GAAUGUGCCAACAUGAAUGAGCUGUGAGUGCUCUUCAGGGCCGGAAGCCUGAGUGCCUUUGUCAGGGGAGCACAAGCUGUGUCUCAGCAGUUACUCCCAGACAAGUUACCACCUACCGGGUCCUCUUGCUUUCCUGCUAAUCACCUCGACAUGAAAGGAACAAAAAUUUGAAUGUUGAUUUGAAAAUCUGAAGCUCUUCACAGUCUUCUAGACACAGCACGACUG
rnacentral:lncRNA from 1 species